UACUAAAUCUGUGAUCAGCAUUAAUAAAAUAAGUGGUACAUUUGAGUGCUACUCUUUUGUUCCUAUUGAAAUCAGUGAAAGUUUAUCACUUACUCAAAAACGGGUAAUACUUCACCCAAAACUGUAAUUGGGAAAAAAAUAAAAGAAAAAUUUCAUAGGAGUAAAUAAUCAACCCACUCUCAAAUGACUACCAGCAAACUGAGAAUAUUUUAAAAAUAGAAUUAAUAUUCUGUGUCUUUCCUCCACCUACUUUGUUUCCUCUUGUUUCUUUUCACAUGUCAUUACUAACUCAAUAAUCUCCCACAGUGAUUGUCAUACUGCAGCAAGUAGUUAACAAUGACUGAAAUCGUGCCUGUAGCUGUUAAGUUACCUGUUAAUAAGAUGACAUAUGAGCUGGGUACAAUGUGUGAGGCCAAAACAUAACACCUGCAUUGCUUUGAGUGAUGCAAGACAGCUCCAUAGCACUCGUAUGUGUACUGGCUGCUAAAUAGUGGCAUAGAACAGUUGCAUUCAGGUUUAUUCCAACUUAGUGCUACAUUAUCACCUUAUUGUGUUGGAGCAGAACACACACACACACAGGACUUUAAAAUUCUCAUUUAUUUAACCCAGAUGUUAAGGAUAAAACUUAACAUAUCAUUGCUGAGUUUUCAGUGGUAAUUGGCAAAUUAAAAAGCAGUGAAAGAAAUACUGUUGUGUAUACUCUGUGGGGUUAGUUAGGAGAGAGUGUUAGAGCAAUUCCUCUCAUUUUUCCUCUACUAUUUCCACCUGUAAGGAGACUGUGACUCUUUUAUACAUUUCUGUUAUUUCCUUUGCCUUCUUGCCAUGAACACAAUGUUUUAUUUACAUGUCUUUGUUCUCUCUGUUCUGUCCUAAACCCACAUCUACCCAGCUCCUAGGACUACAUUACUGUAGUGAUCAAUAAAUGAGCACUCAUUUUUAUACCAUGAAGAUCCAAGUUAUCGUCCUGGCUUGUACACUCAAGACCUCUAUUUUCAUCAUAUAUUUUCCUUUUGGGGGCUGCACGUUUGCUACACACUUAGCUAACCUGUUUUUUUGUUUGUUUGUUUGUUUUCAGGACUUACCUGCACUUUAUGAUAUUGAAUACAUAAGGACCACCACCUUGCACAAAGCUCCUGUGAAAAGUUUUAGAUGAUACUGCAGAGGUCCAGAGCAUGCUGGAAUCACACCCAAACUAGAUAUUUAUUAUCAAGGAUUUGAAGGACAUUUAGCUGGAUGCUUGGUCAAGGCUGGUAUUUCUGUUUCUCUGCAGGAUAUCCCAAGUCUCAUGGCAAGCAGGAGUUUGCCUGCACUGCAGCAAAGUGCUGUGACUAUUUCAACAACCACAUAAUUAUUCGAUGUCAUAAACCCCAGUCUCUCAAGUAACUUUGAUGCUUGGUUUCUGGCAUGCCUAUGAUUUCAGUGUUCUCAGCACACAAAUUAGUUCUAUUGCUUAAGCUUUCUGUCAUAUAUUUCUUCCUAAAUCAUCAUCCAACUUGAGUUUAUUUCUCCAGUGAUGGUGGUAGAAGCUUAGAAUAUUUUCCAUAAGAGAAAAUGGCUUUAGGAGUUGACCAAAACUAUUUAGUUGCCAUGCCACUAGUGCCAUAGUUUGCCCAGAAAGAGACCAUUAGCAAUCAGCCAAGAGUCAUGACUUAUCUAAAUGUUCCUCAAAUUAGGCUUAUUGAUUUUUUUUUGUUGUUGUUGUUGGUGGUGGUGGUUUGUUGUUGUUGUUGUUGUUUUCUUCAGAAGAAAUUUGAAGCUUUGGUAUAGCAGAUAGACCAGGCUGACGGUUGGACUUGAUGAUCCUAACUGUCUUUUCCAACCUAAAUGGUUCUAUGAUUUUACAGUUUUUACUGUAAUUGAACUGUUCUGCUGUAAUGUUUCAGUACUGUACACAUAUUUCAGUGAUCUGUUGGGACAGAAAAUAAAUGAGUGUGGUUUCUCACAUAAUCCUUGGGCAGGAGCAGUUUAGGUAGAAAUGGCUUUGAAAGUGAGGCCGAAAUUCCUGCAUGUGUUUAGAGGAUAUUACCUGCAGCUUGAAAUAUAGAGCAGACUCUUGCACAUCAAUAUCUUGGCUGACCCUUUGCUGGUCUGUAACCAGUUUAAUCCCCCAAGUCCUACACUUAUUUUUUGUUUUAUUUUAAAGGCAUUUUUAAAAUGCUUGUAUGAGCAUAAUAUCCAUGAAAAGUGAUCGAGUGGCCACUUUGAAGACUGAAACCCAUUCUCACUCUCUCCACAAGUUGAGUGCCUCCUGCACAUAAGCAAUAGAUGCUUUCAGGUAGCAUUUGACUUUAACUUUGGGAAGAUAGAGACAAUCAGUAUGAGCUAUAAUCAGCAUGGUCAGAUUUUGCCAUGACUUCUUUCCAUACUGUCCCCUGCUGGAAGAAAACACUUUUAUCCUACACCAUAACAUUUGGUCACUCUUUGUAAUAUUACUGGUUAUACAAGAUGGGUGAUCAAAUAAUGAGAUACCAAAGCCUCAUGCUGCAGUUUUAAGUCCUGGGAAUUUCAUGAAAAGUCAUCCUGUUUUAAUAUUGGAGUUUGGGAUAUAUUUUUUCUUUCAUUAAGCUAUAAGUGUUGCUUCUCUUUUAAGCAUUUGCAAUCAAAAUUCCUUUUAAUUGAUAUGGCCUGUUCCUGAAUAUCCCCUUUCCCCCCUAUAUUUUUUGAACAUACUGUGCACAAAAACACAUAUGCUACCUGAGGAAUUAGCAGUGCUAAGCAGGUCAGAAAGAUUGCUGUCUGAGCCCAGUAGAUGGUAGUCCUGUUUAGAUAGUUCAGUACAAUAUCUGCAGGUUUUGCAGCAGGGUGAUUUUGCUAACAAACACAGGCUGACUGAGGCAAAACACAGGCAAUAUACCACAGGAAACAAUCCUACAGUGGGUGAAAGAGAUGACCUAGACAAACUCAUUGAUAUUCUCCAUAUUUUGUUUCUGUAUUAUGAAUUAUUCUAUAUUCCGUAUUAUUUCUAAUCCUAUUCACACUGAGGUUUUGCAAUAAACCCCUAUUGACUUUAACAUAAUGGGAAUGGUUUUGUCAUUUCUGUUGAUUAUGUACAAGCAUGUAGGUAUACUUUUCUUUUUUAUAGUGUAUUUGAAAUGAACCAUAGAUGCAUCCAUAUAAGAUGAUAACAAGGUAUCAGACUCGCUACUUCCAAUGCCAAAACUAUGUUUAUGCUCUCUCAACGAAGCAGAAUAUUCUUAGUAGAAAUUAACAGUCUAAAGAUGCCCAUGCACCACAGGGAGGUGCAAUCCAUGUCUUUGCAGACAGCAUAUCUUGGGAUACUUAUUUUUUAAAAUGACCUUAAAAAGUAAAUACAAGAAGUCAGAAUGUAUUUUAUGAAUUUGGAAGUCUUAUUUCACUAUUGUAUAUAUGCUUCAAUGGAAUGAGAAAGGCUUUUGCUUUCUAAUUUGACCCCCACCCCACCUUUCCAGAUGGCUAGAUAAAGCUUCAAUGCAAUCUGAUUCUUUGAGAUUAAAAGGCUGAUUUAUCAUUUUCUAACAAGAAGAAUCUUGCUGUCAUAGGAGGGUAGUGGGCUGAUUUGGAAUACCUGUCAACCAGAAAGGAAACCCCAGAAAACAAAUAAAACAACCAAGAAAACUGCAAGCUUACUUACAAAUUCCUUAUCAUUUUGCCUAUAUUCUAAUGCAGUAAAUAUUGUUGACCCCAGCAGCUUUAACCAGCACAGGCAAACAAGCUUUGAAUUAUUGCUCUGCUGCAAUGUAACAAUUCCAUUGCUCUGACCCUUGGUGUCUUGCAAAAUACAGUAGAACAAUAAUUGUCAAUCCUUCCUAUACAAUGUGCUAUAUUUGACAGAGGUCAGCAUUAGCUACAAGACCUUUGGCUGGUGCUCAAAGAGGUAAUAUCUCUUCUCUAGUUCAGCUGAUAAAAUGUUAAAUAGAAUCAGUGUUGGCCAUGCUUUUGCACAGACAGAGAUAAAAACAGUUUUUACACUGUAACAUGUUAUUAAUAGACAGAAAAUAGAUGACAGUAUUUCGUGGAGUGCUUUGGUAAAUAUACUAUUUAAAUGUCAAAAGUUUUAAUUUUUCUGAAGAGAAAUGACAUGAUUCUUCUUUCCAAUUUGCAGUAUGAUUAAUUUAACAAGGCUUCACAGUGGGCAGAAAAUAGAGGACUUUGUUAUGGAUCUUACAAAGUAAAUGCUGACCUGUGGCUCAUGGGCUGGAAGAGCAGUAUUACAUUGCCCAGCCUCCAUGUGUAAAGGGAAGGAUUUGUGUUUCAGAGGUUCAUGCUUCAAACAGCAACAAUAGCCAUUAAAUUUCUCACAAACAAGAUGGGGUGCAAACAACAUAGUUACUCCUAAGAAAUUCAGUCUCAUUUGAUAAAGGGGAGGACCAGGAAGGUCACUGUCAGCAGAGGCACAUUAUAAGCAAAAAGGAUCAGUAAGAAAAUACGGGAGAAAGCAUCACGGGAGAAAGCAUCCAGAAAGGCA